AUUUCAUGAUGACGACUUUAGUCAGUUCUGCUGCUGAAAAAACGUGUGGAAAUUAAAUACCAAAACCUCUGAUUG